rnacentral:rRNA from 1 species
CUGGUUGAUCCUGCCAGUAGUCAUAUGCUUGUGUUAAAGAUUAAGCCAUGCAUGCCUAAGUAUAGGUGGAUAUAACCGAAACUGCGGAUGGCUCAUUAAAUCAGUCAUAAUUAAUUUGGUGAAGAUGAUGAAAAUUACGCGGGGCAACUCGUGUGGUUUUUGUUAACUAGAAGGAUAACCCUGUUAAUUGUAGAGCUAAUACAUGAAAGAACACGAUACCUGUAAAAAGGUAGCAUUUGCCAGCUCCCAAAUUAAUCAAAGAUUCCACAGACUAUGACUCAGCGAGCGAGUACCCAUAAUCUCGGAAGCAAAAGGAAUAAAUCAAACUAAAAAGGGGAGGGGAAAGAUGACGCGGAGCGUAGAUAAUGUGGGAGAUAUGAAAAAAGGCAAAAAUAAAAUAGCGAAUCGCAGUAAAGGCGUUCUGCGCCGGCGAUGGACUAAACGAGUGACUGACCUAUCAAGCUGAUGGUAGGAUAGGGGCCUACCAAGCUAAUUACGGGUAACGGGGAAUUAGGGUUCGAUUCCGGAGAGGGCGCCUGAGAAAUGGCUACCACUUCCAAGGAAGACAGCAGGCGCGUAAAUUACUCGGUGCCGACACGGCGAGGUAGUGACGACAAAUACCAAUGCUCAUUCGUAUCUCGGGUAACCGGGGUAUAGAGUAAUUGGAAUGAUUGCAAAAUAAAAGAAUGCAAGAGUAACAAUUGGAGGGCAAGUCUGG